rnacentral:lncRNA from 1 species
UGAGAUAUGGAAGACACCUAGGGUUUUCUGGAGGACACAUAAACUUGGAAAUGGGACAAGCUAUAGGGAAGAGCUUCCCAAAUCUCAAAUGGCUUAACCUUAGGGGAAGUGGCAUUGAUAGGUAUGGUCUGCAAAGUAUAUUGGAGUCCUGCAAGGGGCUGGAGUACCUUAAUGUGAUGGGGUGUCCUAGACUCACUCAAUGCAGUACACUCACUGACAAGGUUGCAGACAUACUAGAGUUCAAGUGUUCAAAAAUCAGCAACUUCUACAACUAUGACCAUGAAUAUGACCAGGACUUUAAUGGCUUUGACCUUGGGUAUUCUUGAGAGAGAGAGAGAAAGAGAGAGUAAGAACUAUAUGUACAGGGAUGGAUGGUGAAUAAGAUCCCUUGUUUUUAGGUGCAUCAUGGAUUCUAUAGAUGCUCAUGUGCAUGUUUAUUUUGGUACAAAAGGAUAGGUAAAGUAGAUCUUAGGUUUUUAUUUUUGAGGAUGAUGAUUGAUGUACCUUCGAUGGAUCAAACUAAUCUCCACAGUAUUGGAGAUUUUUUUGGUGGGACUCAAACGGGUAACUUUCUGAGAAGAUUAUGGUGCUCCUGUUAAGCAAAUUGUACAUUUGCUUUAUGGGGAAAAAGAUGUGGUGCUCUUGCAGGAAUAAGUUGUGCAUUUGCUCUUGUGGGAAAAAUACAUACAUGUAUAAACAAUAAAGGAUCGGCUAGUUCCCUAACAAAACCGGCAAGUUCCGAUAUUUAGUGGGAAUUAAGACCGGUCCACCAAUUCUUAAUCCAGAUCAAGUGAUUUCAAUUGGGGUUAGUGUUUUUUAAAACCCUAGUCUAAGCUACAUGGAGAUAUAGGAACCUAUAAGCUCCAAGAGGAUCUGUUGGAUACAUGAAUCUACAUUGGUUAAGUGUCAACUAUGCCAUGCAGAUCUAAUAUCGUUUGCCAUGUCAAUUCAAUGGUUCGAAACGGCGUUUAAAAAAUCAGAUUGGAAUGGUUGCUUUUUGUUGUUCAACUUGGAAUGGAUGGGGACCGGUAUAUGAUCCCCAUGGAAUUGAGGCUAGGACCAAUACUCCCACAAUAUGAUGUGUUUUUCUUUUUAUAUUGCAAAACAUUGUUUUAAGAGUGACUUGAGUAUUCUAAUUUUUUUAAUUUAAACUAAUAAUAUUGAAGUUUUAUAUAUUUUUAAAAUUGGCCAAGCUAGCUCAUUGAAUCGGAUUUGGAUCCAGUGGGUAACCAGUUCAACCCACUAGUUGGACUUUCUAAACACUAGUAUGAAAUAAAUAUAAAUAAAAAGUUAUUGAGUUUAAUAUGAAGUAAAAAAUUCCAACACACUUUAAGGGUACUUCUUAAUAGUGAUAAAGCUCUCUGUAUAAUCUUAACAUGAAAAUCCAAUAAAGAUGGUCCAUAUCUAAUAUUAGAAUUUAGAAAGAGCUUACCCAAGAUGCUAGAAUGUAAACAUAUCCUUUUGUUAGAUCGGAAGUGUAAAGUUAAAAGUGUAAAUUUUAUGAUUUAGGUAUUUCUUCAUUCCCUUCAAUCUUAAGACCCAACUUAUAAGAAGCGACUGUGAUUUUAUGCAACGAUUGUAUAGUAAUAUAAUGCAACAAUUUUUUAGAAUCAUGUUAAAGCUAUUUGUUUGAUUCAAAAUUUGAACUAUAUAUUAUUUUCAUUAUAAUGAACAAUCACAAAAAAGAAAAAUUUGAAACCGGAAACUAAAAAGUAUUUUUAAGUUCAAUUAACAUAGGUCGUCCAUUUCAAUAAGAUGCUUAGAUCUAGGCCUUAGAAAAAAAAUUUCUUUUUCAAUUUUUUUAGAUGGCUUUAUUAGCAGUAGAUGAAUAAUGUUAAAAAGAAAAAUAUAAUUUUAAGUUUGUAGAGGUUAAGAUCUUGAAAUUCACCAAAUGAAUGGCCUCAAUUCGUUGUUGGAGAUGACUCAUUUUAACCAUAUCUAAGGUUCAAAUUGAACUCUUUUUUUUUUAAGGGGGAAUUGAUUACUGAGAUGAAGAGAGUGUGUGUGAAAAAUUUUGGGUCUUACAAAUACCACACAUAGUUUUUUAGAAGUGUGGUCGCAUGAUACUAUGAUACAACCGUUGCAUGAGAUCACUGCUCAUUAAAAUAGGAAAGUGAUUUCAUGCAACGGUUGUAUAGUAAUAUAAUACAAUAUUUUUCAAAAACCAUGUUAAGGUCAUUUGUUUGAUUCAAAUUUUGAAACAUGCACUAUUUUUAUUGUAAUGAACAAUCACAAAAAAAAAAAAUUUUGAAACCGGAACCUAAAAGUAUUUUUAAGCUCAAUUAACAUAAACCAUCCAUUUUGAUAAGAUGCUUUUCAUGAUCACCCAAAUGACAGCUUUUACAAUAAAAUGUCAUUUGGUCUCCGAGGCCAAAAUGGACAUUAAAAUAUUGAAAAGUCAUUAAAAAAUAAUCUAACUUUUCAUGAUCGCCCAAAGACAGCUUUUAUCCAACUUUUCAUGAUUGCCCAAAGACAGCUUUUAUCCAACUUUUCAUGAUUGCCCAAAGACAGCUUUUACCAUAGGAUUUAAUUAGAACUUGAUUGACAGCUUUUACCAUCGGAUUUAAUUAGAACUUGAUCCCAAAAAUGGAGCAUUGUAUUGCCCAACUUGGGAAACCAUUGAAAAAACCCCACAAAUCGGGUGGUUUUCAAUGCUUGUCUCCCUUUCUAAAGAGAACAAAAGAGAGAGUUUCCUUUGAAUCACUCGCCCAAUUAUGAGGGAACACCAAGCAAUACCCAUUGAGUUUGAGCACACUCCAAUUUAGCUUAGGAAAAAGUUUAUAUAAGAGCGGGGCUCUAAACAAUCAAAUUAGGAUGAGGAUACUAAAAAAUUUGAGGUUGAUCAUCCUGUUGGGUCCGAGUGGACCCGGACUCGAUCCAACCCGUUCCCACCCUAGUGGGCAUUGCCAUUGCCACCACAAAACCACCUACAAUCGAACUUAGUUUUGCAAUCCCCAUCAUUUAAUUGUAGGGCCCGCAUAGAAACCGUGUCCUAUCUUUUAUUACAUAAAAGAAUACUGGAGUCGCAUAGUCCACGAAUAUUUAUGUCUAAUCAUAGUGCACAAAAUAUUAAAAAAAUUUCUAUAAGGUUGCAACCUUAAAGUAAUAAAUUGCGCCUUAAAAAUUCUUUAGAAGAGAGUAUUUCGAUAUUGGAUAACCUUUAAAUUGAUCAUUUCAACUUAGAGAUGCCCGGAUAUAAAAGAAAAAUAAUAAUUUCAAGUCUUAAAAAUAAUGCAUUCGACAACAAAUUAUCUAAACUGUCUAUUUUCAAGUAUUUAUAGAUCUACCAGAUUUAUACUAUUUUUAAAAAAUUUAAACUUAAAAUUUAUAAACAAAAAUAAAUUUAAAAUUUAAAGCCAUAGUAAAGUUUUCGACCUAGAAGUGCAUCUUGAAACAAAUUUUAGAGGUGAGUCCUACUUCUACAGUAUAAGGAAGACGCCUUAUACAAACCUCACUCCUAAAAUAUUAACAUUGCAAGAUAAAGACAAGCCCGUGUCAACAUCUCACGAAACAAAAUUGGCCUCCAUCCAAAUCUCCCUAACAAACAAUUCACAUUACAAAUCAAUAAUCUCUAGAAAAGCAAAUGGGGAACCUAGGCAAUCCAACGGCUAUGCUUUAAUCUCUUGCUAGGUGACAUGAUAAGAGGGAGACGUCAAAGCAAUGUUCUUGAACCUUGAAAUGAAAAUGGAAUGUACUAAAGAUGAGUGGAGGCUAGAGAGAGAGAGAGAGAGAGAGAGGUAGUUACGCCUAGAGAGAAGAAGAGAGAGAGAGAGGAGGGUAGGGUAGAGAGUAGUUAGUUACGUCUAGAGAGAGAGAGAGAGUAGAGAGUAGAGAGUGAGAGUAGAGGAGGUAGGUAGUAGAGUAAGUUACGUUCGUCUAGAGAGAGAGAGGAGNNNNNNNNNNNNNNNNNNNNNNNNNNNNNNNNNNNNNNNNNNNNNNNNNNNNNNNNNNNNNNNNNNNNNNNNNNNNUAGAGAGAGAGGGAGUAAUAGUUCGUUAGUUUCGUUAGUCGUUAGUAGAGAGAGAGAGAGAAGAAGGGUUAGGUCGUCGAUCUAGAGGAAAGUAAACAUUUUAGUAUAUAGAGAGAGAGAGAGAGAAUUUAGCCUUUAGAGAGAGAGAGAAAAUUUAGCCUUUAGAGAGAGAGAGAGAGGAGUUUAGGCACUUUGAUCCAUGGAGGAUCGGUGGGCAAGCCUCCCUCAAGAAAUCUUGAUCCACAUCUUCUCUCUCCUGAACCACUUCCAGUCCCUCCGCUCGCUCUCGCAUGUCUGUAAAUCCUGGCGCGAGGCCUCUCUGGAUUCCGCCUGUUGGGAUCCCUUGCACUUGUCUGAUCACAAAGCUUUCAUCUCCUCACUCCUCAAGGAAGAAGACAUUCUUGAUCGCACUGUGAACCAGAGGACCUUCUUUCUGCUCAAACGUUGUCGAGGCAAUGUCAAGUCCAUCUCCUAUCGCUUCAUCGCCAACGAUUCCAGUCUUCAUCAAAUUGUAGAGAGGCAAUUCUUACCUUGUUCUUCUCUCUCUGUUUCUCUCUUCUUAUUUUUUGCUUUUUUUUCUUUGAAUUAGAUUGGGUUGGGAACAUUGCUUUUAUAGGGAUAGGGGUGGCAAUGGACCCGAACCCGACAUACGAUCCGAGGGGUAGACCUGAUCCCGGUUACACUAUUUGAGUUUGGGUUCCGAUCGGGUGCGGUCAGGUCCGGGUCCGGUAAGAUUUUUCAGGCCCCAAUUUAUGAAAUAUAUUUAAAUAUAAUUAAAUACAUAGAUAUUUUAAUUUUUGGGUAUGACUGGACCCGGACCUGUUCUGACCCGUUGCCACCCCUAAAUGGAGACUCAUCGGUUUGUUGAAUCAUUUACUGAUCGUUCUAAUAUGGAUGUUGUUUCUGUUAGGCCCGGGCCUUGUGAAAAUAGUAAAGCUUAAUCUCAUAAUCUCGUCGAGAAAAUACUUGGGGCAUGAAAAUCCCCAUGGUAGCUCUAAAAUCUAUUUUCACCAUUAAUUUAAAAAUUUGUAGCUCAAAAAAUGAUAGAGAACACCAUGAUAGCUCUAAAAUCUAUUUUCAUCAUUAAUUUAUAAAUUGGUAGCUCAAAAAAUGAUAAAGAUAUUGUGAGGGAGUUCAUAUGGCAUCAGAGGUAUUGUUAUUUGAGGUAGUUGAAUUGGUUAACUUUUUAGGAAUCAAGCCUUGGUGCCACAAUGAAUGCAGGAGUGUUGAUUUUCUAGGUAACAUUUGGGAGUGCACAGGUGGGAUAGCUUUUGAAAAGAUAAACUUUAUAAAAUACUGAUAAGUUUAUCAAUUUUUUUUUUUUUUUUUUUGACAAAUGUUACUACUUUUAUUGAUAACUAACUGAUAAAUUUACCAUUAUUGGACAUUAUGAUGGGCACGGCAAACAACAAACAAUUCAUUACCAGAUUAAUUUUUUUAAGGAUAAUGGUUUGAUAGUGCAGCCCUAUCAAAAUAAGUCAAGCCUCACUUCAUAAGUCAUCGAAAAUUACAAUUCAAGCAUUAGAAAACCUUUACAUCGGUCAUCUUAGAUUGAACAUUAUGCUUGUGAAAAAAAAAAAGGGAUUUCAAGUUCUAAAAAUAAUGUAUAUUGUAACAAAUUAUCUAGACCAUUUGUUUUACCCUAAAAGUAAGUGUUCCUAGAUCCACAAAAUUUGUACCAUUUUUUGAGUUUCGAAUUUCUUUAGUUGGUGUUGGAAAUUGAUUUUAGAGCUAUCAUGGAUAUUUUUUUUGCCGAAAGUGCUUUCUCCAUGAGGAUUUUAGAUGAAGCUUUAUUUUUGUUUUCGUAAAGCCUAGGCCUCAUAGAAAGCUCAGCCUUUUAUUAAAACAAAGAAUUAUUGGUAAUAUUAAGUACAUCCAAAUAGGCCCUUAGGCAAGAUAAACGAUUUUGGAGGAUUACUUUGAUCUGAAAUUUUAGGGGACAUCGUAGAGUCAAGAGAUAAAUAAUUGCUGGAAAAAAAGAAAGAAUGACUUCUAGAAAGUUAAGGGCUAUGUGUUCACUCUUGGGAGAGGAUAUUUUGUAGGAUAUUUUGUAGGCAAUAUUUGGGUCCAAUUACAUUUUUGUUCUUUCUUUCUUUUUUUUAUUUGUUUAAGGUUAAUCACUAGUCUAGAGUAUAUCAAGAAGAUUUGGGGUCCUUUGAAGUAGUUUCAUGCCCCUCAGGAGCUAGUGUACAAUUUGUUUCCAAGAGAGCAUACAUUCUUUUCUCAAUAUAUUUAUAUGGGCAUGGUUCUUUAUGGGUGCACAAUGAUGUGAAUUAGGUACAUACAUUAUAUGUUUUUGCAGUGAGAUUCUAUGUUGUGACACCAUUUAGGCAUUUACUUAUGGGUGCGGUUUGUAUAGAGUUGAGGCUCUAAACAAUCAAAUUAGAGCCCACCUUCAAAUAGUGUUGAGAAAUGUGGUUUUAAUACCGGAAAUCUUUGCGAUAGCCUUAAAAUAUAUUUUCAUCAUUAAUUAUAAAAUUUAAAACUUAAAAAAUAGUGUAGACCAAGGAGAUCUAUGAUAAUAUUACAAGAUGCACUAUUUCCAAAACUUGGAAUCUAUUUUAUUUUCAUGUAUCUUGUGUUGAGAUGAUCAAUUUGAGAAUAUGUGGGCAUCAAAACAACCUCUUCUAGUGAAAUUUUUUAUGUGGGCUAUAACAAAUUUUGUUGUUUAGAGCGUCGUCUCUAUAUGAACUUUUUCUUUUACUACUAAGAGGACAAGAAGAUCACAAUUACUUAGCCAUCGAUUUGAAAUUGGAUGUAUCACAAAGUUGAAAAAAAUAUCUUUUGGACUUUUAGUUUGGUUAUUGAUACAACCACAUAUAUCUUAUUGUGACCUACUUGUACCAAAGGAAAAUGAUUUUAUCUACACUUUUCAGUUUGUAAUUGUAUAUAGCAAUGACUAAUAUGCACAUCAAUUAAUGCAAAAAUGUUCCACAACCCCACACUUUAGCAAUUAAGGAAAGCUUUCUAUACACCACUAGGUGCAUGGAAUUCAUAUAUGCCACCCCUCCCAGCCGUUCAAUCUGAAUGGACAAUUAAGGUGCCCCCAAUCGUAAUAUCACGCCUAAACACUGUUUUAUUUUUAUUUAAUUCAUUUAGAAAUGAUAUUGACCCAAAAUUUGUAGCUUCCAAUCCUUUAUGAUAAAUAUAAAAAAUAUUCUUGAUAAAUAAAUAAUCAAAAUACCCCUAAAAUUUUUAGGGGGAAUUUGGUUAUUUUGUUUGAGAGGUCUGACAUAGAUCAAACGAUCAGUGGCUCACUAGCUCACUUAUGACAUUAUAGCGAAAGCUAUCCUAACCAUCAUUCAAAUAUGGCGGCUCGGAGAGAGUGGCAUAUAUAAAAUCUCUACACCUAGUUGUGUAUAGAAAGCUUUUUCAGAAGUAAAUAUUAGAAAGAAAAGAAAUACAGCAUAAGAAAGAGCAGCUGCUUUAAUAGUGUUCCAUUUACAGGUAUCCAUUAUUGGAGUCUCUGUCUCUGCGAAACUGCGCUAGUGUUUCAAGUAAAGCUGUGUGUCAAGUGCUGAAAUCAUGCAAAGAACUGAAGCUCUUGGAUCUCGGUGGAAGCUACUGCUUAAAUGCAAGAGCCAUUCAAGAAGUUGAGGGAAUGUGCCCUAAGCUUGUAGGGUUGAAUUAUGGAGGACACAUAAACUUGGAAAUGGGACAAGCUAUAGGGAAGAGCUUCCCAAAUCUCAAAUGGCUUAACCUUAGGGGAAGUGGCAUUGAUAGGUAUGGUCUGCAAAGUAUAUUGGAGUCCUGCAAGGGGCUGGAGUACCUUAAUGUGAUGGGGUGUCCUAGACUCACUCUAAGCAGUACACUCACUAACAAGGUUGCAGGCCUACUAGAGUUCAAGUGUUCACACUUCAGCUACUUC